AACGGGGUUCGCCCCUUGUCCACAAACACACCCCCGUGCACGUUGAAGGCCCGGCUCGUUGAGUGGGUGGGCGACCGCCCAGGAUUCGUAGCCUCGCUUUCUUACACAAACUUCAGAAUGUACAUCAGAAUGUCUUACGCGUGUAACGCAUCGUAAUAUAACUUUCAGCAACGGAUCUCUUGGCUCUCGCAUCGAUGAAGAACGCAGCGAAAUGCGAUAAGUAAUGUGAAUUGCAGAAUUCAGUGAAUCAUCGAAUCUUUGAACGCACCUUGCGCUCCUUGGCAUUCCGAGGAGCAUGCCUGUUUGAGUGUCAUGAAACUCUCAACCCCUGCCAUCUUUGCGGAUGAGCGUCGGUUGGAUUUUGGAGGUUGCCGGACUCGUUCGGCUCCUCUUGAAAGCAUAGUAAAGCUUGGACCUGACCGACCGGGUGGACGUGAUAGAAAGUCACCGUCGACCGAAGGGUCCGUCGCUGAACGGUUCAAGCUUUGUUUGUCGUCUUCGGACGAACAUCUCUGACCUCUGACCUCAAAUCAGGU
rnacentral:rRNA from 1 species